rnacentral:rRNA from 1 species
CUGGCGGCGUGCCUAACACAUGCAAGUCGAACGAGAAUCUACUUAUGAAAUUUUCGGAUGGAUUAGGUAGAGGAAAGUGGCGAACGGGUGAGUAACGCGUGAGCAAUCUGCCUUGUACUGGGGGAUAACGUCGGGAAACCGGCGCUAAUACCGCAUAAUACUAUGAGAUCGCAUGGUCAUAUAGUCAAAACUCCGGUGGUACAAGAUGAGCUCGCGUCCAAUUAGCUAGUUGGUGGGGUAAUGGCCCACCAAGGCGACGAUUGGUAGCCGAACUGAGAGGUUGAUCGGCCACAUUGGGACUGAGACACGGCCCAGACUCCUACGGGAGGCAGCAGUGGGGAAUAUUGCGCAAUGGAGGGAACUCUGACGCAGCAACGCCGCGUGAAGGAUGAAGGUUUUCGGAUUGUAAACUUCUUUGAUCGGGGACGAAAUUGACGGUACCCGAAGAACAAGCCACGGCUAACUACGUGCCAGCAGCCGCGGUAAUACGUAGGUGGCAAGCGUUGUCCGGAAUUACUGGGUGUAAAGGGCGUGUAGGCGGGAAGGCAAGUCAGAUGUGAAGGCCCAUGGCUUAACUGUGGAAUUUCUUCUGAAACUGUUUUUCUUGAGUGCUGGAGAGGAAAGUGAUUUUCUUAGUGUAGCGGUGAAUGGGUAGGAGAUUAGGAGGAACACCAGUGGCGAAGGCGGCUUUUUGGACCAUAAUUGACGCUGAGGCUCGAAAGCGUGGGGAGCAAACAGGAUUAGAUACCCUGGUAGUCCACGCCGUAAACGAUGGAUACUAGACGCAGGAGGUAUCGACUCCUACUGUGUCUGAAGCUAACGCAAUAAGUAUCCCGCCUGGGGAGUACGGCCGCAAGGCUGAAACUCAAAGGAAUUGACAGGGACCCGCACAAGCAGCGGAGCAUGUGGUUUAAUUCGAAGCAACGCGAAGAACCUUACCAAGGCUUGACAUCCUCUGACAGGUGUGGAAACACACUCUUCCUUCGGGACAGAGAGACAGGUGGUGCAUGGUUGUCGUCAGCUCGUGUCGUGAGAUGUUCGGUUAAGUCCGGCAACGAGCGCAACCCCUAUAAACAGUUGCCAAUAUUAAGUUAGGGACUCUGUUUAGACUGCCGUGGGUCAACACGGAGGAAGGUGGGGAUGACGUCAAAUCAUCAUGCCCCUUACGCCUUGGGCUACACACGUGCUACAAUGGGCGCUACAAAGAGCAGCAAGCCGGUAACGGUAAGCGAAUCUCAUAAAGGCGCUCUCAGUUCAGAUUGUGGGCUGCAACCCGCCCACAUGAAGAAGGAGUUGCUAGUAAUCCCGAAUCAGAAUGUCGGGGUGAAUGCGUUCCCGGGUCUUGUACACACCGCCCGUCACGCCAUGGGAGUCGGGAGUACCCGAAGUCGGUGCGCUAACCUAAGCAAUUAGGAGGCAGCCGCCUAAGGUAAGCUCGAUGACUGGGGUGAAGU